AUUCCCACGGGUAAUGAGGUAAUUUGUAAAUAUCAAGAAUGGGAAUUCCCACGGGUAAUGAGGUCAUUUGUAAAUAUCAAGAAUGGGAAUUCCCGCGAGUAAUGAGGUCAUUUGUAAAUAUCAAGAAUGGGAAUUCCCGCGAGUAAUGAGGUCAUUUGUAAUUAUCAAGAAUGGGUAUUCCCGCGAGUAAUGAGGUCAUUUGUAAUUAUCAAGAAUGGGUAUUCCCGCGAGUAAUGAGGUCAUUUGUAAAUAUCAAGAAUGGGAAUUCCCGCGAGUAAUGAG